CUGGACUUUCUUAUUUUGUUUUCAAUUAUUUUAAAAUGUUUUCCUUUUUUCUUUUGUAACUGAGGAAUUCUACUUCACAUAGUUGUAUGAUGGUAGACUAUUAAUAAAUGGAAUGAAAUUUUAAGCUAUUGUAGUGUAUUAAUAAGGCUAUAUACCUGCUGGUUAAUAUUUAUUAGAAGAGAAGGGGUCUUUUUCGUAUUCAUCAAUAGAGAUACCCAGUCAGGGUGCCAGGUGGUCCAUUAGACAGGGCUAUGCAGGAAUGUGAGUUUUGUGGGGUUUUCAUGUAUUUUGGGGGGUACUUUUGAGGUGUUUGUAAAUUGUGUGUUUUCUGUACCUGGAGAUAAUUGAGUUUGUACAGUUCCUGACUCAAGUAUCUCUCAGUCACAGAGGAGGGAUUACCCUGUGAUUUUGUGUAAGAAACCUUUCAUGGGCUUUUGAAUAAAAG